CCACUCCCCAGUCAACACUCACUCCUCACGGUCUCACUCCUCUCUCUCUCUCUUCCUCACGCACUCACUCUCACGGUCUCACCUCACUCACUCACGAUCCAGUUCCCAGUUCCCACCACCGAUCCACCACCGGCCACCACCACGGUACCACCAGGCCCCAGCCACCACCACUCAUUCACGUUCUCUGUUCAGUGUUCACUCCUUUCUCUCUCUCUCUCACGCACUCAUCAUGCAGCCACCACGCCACCAGUCCACCACCACCGCCCACCGGCGGCCGCCAACGCACCACCAAUCUCUCUCUCUCUGCUGCUGUUGAAGCUUGAAGGUUAGUUAGGAAUUGAAAACCCCCAAAUUGAAAAACCUCAAAUUGAAAACCUAAACCCCCAAAAACCCCAAACCUCAACCUCUGGGAUCGCAAACCAGUGUUCGUGGCUGAAGGAAUGAAAGGCGGCUUGGCCAUUCUGUGGAGGAAAAACGCUUUGGUGAUUAAUAGGGUGGUAAAAAAUCAAAGGUUUUUUGGCAUAUGCGAUUCUGAAUGAAGCUGUGUUCUGUUUCAAUAAUUGUGAGAGUGGCAGUGGGUAGUUGGAAGGAACACUGGUUUAUGUGUUGAUUGCAUUUGUGCUGCUGCAACUUGAAGGAAAUCUGAUUUGUGUUUUUGAAUGCUCAUAUGCUGCUGCAACUGGGAGGAAUUCUGGUUUGUGUUUUUUUAUUGCAGAUUUGGUGACAGAUUUAUGUACUUGAUGGAGAGGCUAGAAAGGGUUGCAGGUCCUCAUAUUAAUUGUUGAGUUCAAGGGUGAGAGGACUGCCAAAGAUUUGUUACAAUGGUUAUGAAUUGGGAUGUUAGAAUCUUGAGGAUUAUGCAGAAAUCUCGCGGGCAAUGGAGAGUGGAAGAGUGGCUUUGGUAUUGGUUGGCUACUGGGGUGCUUGUGGUGUUGUUCAUGUGGGUCAUCUUCUUCCACAAACAUGAGGAAGAGUCUCUGGCUAAACUCCCUAACUACCCUGCAGAUAUAAGGUAUGAGAGAAUUGAUGUGUCUGUUGAGAAGCAUACAAAACAUGAUGCAAAUUAGAGGCAUAGUUUAUGUGAUUUGAUAUUUUUUAGAUGAUGUUGUUCUUGUUGUUGUUGUGUGUAGGAGAUUAUGAUUAUGAUAUUAUAGAUUUACUGUAACCAAUCAUGUAAAAUAUUUGAACAUCCUGUUUUGGGAGUCACUUUGAUUACAAUCUUGUUUAUCAAUUUUUGCA